AUGGGUCAACGGGCAAGGGUCAACUGGGAUAACAUGAGUGGAAUAGGUUGUGAUGUGGCAAUUUUGACCUUACGAAGACCCCGAAGAACUUGAUGAAAUCAUAUCAGUAAUAGAAUAUUUGUAUGUAAGCCACAUCUUAAUACAAAAAAAAACACACGAAAAGGAUUUAGGACAUAGCCGCCCGUCUUAGGGUUUAGGGCAUAAUCUUCUAAUUUGCAGUCUUUACACCUUGAUCUAAUUAUUCCUCCUCACCAUAUUUUCCAUUAUUUUUCAUCUAAUAUUUCAUAACAUUAAUUAAUUACGUAUCCGAGUUAAAUUACCUUUCAAUUCCAUCAUCUUAUACAGCACAUCACAAACUUCCCCAAAACCUCACCAAAAACUCAAAAAACGUUCACAUUCUUCAAACCUCACAUAAACCAAACAUCAAACUCCAACCGAGAGCCAAACCACAUGAAACCCUAGAUAAACCUAAAGUAACAAAUUCCCUCAAUUUCUAACCAAACAACAUAACCUCAUCACUGAUUUCCACACAUAGCUUCAAAAAAACGCAAACACCACCACAAAUUUCUAAACACAAUAUAGUGAAUCAUGAAAAACAAACACGUAUGAUGCGUAUAGAAUGAUGAUACAUUAUAUUAUAGUUAUAUACAUAGAGAUUGG
rnacentral:lncRNA from 1 species